rnacentral:piRNA from 1 species
GUGAAGGAAAUUGCCCCUGGUAUGGAC